GCCCACCUCUCACUCUCGGGGGUCUGGCGGGGUGUCAGCCCUUGGAGUGGAGAUGGAGACCAGUGCUGCCUCUGAGUACAUUUCCACUUUGAGCCGGUGUGACGUGCUUCUCGUGGGUUUGUCUUUAGGUUUUCCUAGUUGCUCAUAAAGAAGCAAACAAAGGGGUAACAUUAUAAUAUUUGUGAGAAGUUGGGGUCUCCAUGGGCAUUGUGAUCCAGGUAGUGGAUUAGGAGGCCAGAAGGAGAUCCCUUCCAGGGUGCUAGCUGAGAUGGGUCUGCUCAGGGCCCAACAGCUGGCUGCAGAGCUGGAGGUGGAGAUGAUGGCCGAUAUGUACAACAGAAUGACCAGUGCCUGCCACCGGAGGUGUGUGCCUCCUCACUACAAGGAAGCAGAGCUGUCCAAGGGCGAGUCGGUGCCUGGACCGAUGUGUGUCAUCCAUGAGCAGGUGGGCAGAAAGUUGACAGAGUUGUCUGUGCAGGAUGAAGAGCUGAUGAAGAGGGAGCAGCAGAGCUCUGGGCCCGCGUGAGAUCCCAGUCAGUAUACACCCUGGGCUACACCCCACCCCUCCCCAC